rnacentral:rRNA from 1 species
GAUGAACGCUAGCGACAGGCUUAACACAUGCAAGUCGAGGGGCAGCACGGGAGUAGCAAUACAACUGGUGGCGACCGGCGCACGGGUGAGUAACGCGUAUGCAACCUACCUAUCAGAGGGGUAUAACCCGGCGAAAGUCGGACUAAUACCGCAUAAAACAGGGGCACCGCAUGGUGAUAUUUGUUAAAGAAAUUCGCUGAUAGAUGGGCAUGCGUUCCAUUAGGUAGUUGGUGAGGUAACGGCUCACCAAGCCGACGAUGGAUAGGGGAACUUAGAGGUUGGUCCCCCACACUGGUACUGAGACACGGACCAGACUCCUACGGGAGGCAGCAGUGAGGAAUAUUGGUCAAUGGGCAAGAGCCUGAACCAGCCAAGUCGCGUGAAGGAAGAAGGAUCUAUGGUUCGUAAACUUCUUUUGCAGGGGAAUAAAGUGCAGGACGUGUCCUGUUUUGUAUGUACCCUGAGAAUAAGGAUCGGCUAACUCCGUGCCAGCCGCCGCGGUAAAAC